rnacentral:rRNA from 1 species
UACGUAGGAUGCAAGCGUUGUCCGGAAUUAUUGGGCGUAAAGAGCGCGCAGGCGGUCUAUCAAGUCAGAUGUAAAAUAUCCCGGCUUAACCGGGAGGGGUCAUUUGAAACUGGUAGACUAGAGUACAGCAGAGGAUAGUGGAAUUCCCGGUGUAGUGGUGAAAUGCGUAGAUAUCGGGAGGAACACCAGUGGCGAAGGCGACUAUCUGGGCUGAAACUGACGCUGAGGCGCGAAGGCUAGGGGAGCAAACAGG